rnacentral:rRNA from 1 species
AUCGGAAUUCGGCUAAGCCAUGCGAGUCGACGACAUCUUUAUGAUGUCGUGGCGUACGGCUGAGUAACACGUGGUCAAUCUAACGUUAAGAAAGGGAUAACCUCGCGAAAGUGAGGACAAUACCAUAUAGACCUGGAAAUCUGGAAUGCUUCCUGGUCCAAAUCUACUCGAGAAUUGUAUCGAGUGGGCUUAACGAUGAGACUGCGGAUGAUUAGGCUGUUGGUGAGGUAACGGCUCACCAAACCGAUAAUCAUUAGGGGCAAUGGGAGUUGGAGCCCCCAGAAGGGCACUGAGACAAGGGCCCUAGUCCUACGGGAUGCAGCAGGCGCGAAAAUUUUACAAUGCGCGAAAGCGUGAUAAGGGAAUUCCGAGUGAUCUCCUUAGGGAGAUCUUUUCAUCUGUGUAAAUAGCAGGUGGAAUAAGGGCCGGGUAAGACCGGUGCCAGCCGCCGCGGUAAUACCGGCGGCCCGAGUGGUAUCCACGUAUAUUGGGUUUAAAGCGCGCGUAGCCGGCUUGGCGUGUUCUCUGUGAAAUCUUUCGGCCAAACCGAGAGGCGUGCAGAGAAAACUACCAGGCUAGAGAAUGGGGGAGGCCAGAGGUACAUACAGAGUAGGGGUAAAAUCCGUUAAUCCUGUAUGGACCCCCCGCGGCGAAGGCGUCUGGCUAAAACAUGUCUGACGGUGAGGUGCGAAGGCUAGGAGAACGAAACGGAUUAGAU